rnacentral:rRNA from 1 species
CCCAGACUCCUACGGGAGGCAGCAGUGGGGAAUAUUGCACAAUGGGGGAAACCCUGAUGCAGCGACGCCGCGUGAAGGAUGAAGUAUUUCGGUAUGUAAACUUCUAUCAGCAGGGAAGAAAAUGACGGUACCUGACUAAGAAGCCCCGGCUAACUACGUGCCAGCAGCCGCGGUAAUACGUAGGGGGCAAGCGUUGUCCGGAUUUACUGGGUGUAAAGGGAGCGUAGACGGCAGUGCAAGUCUGGAGUGAAAGGCGGGGGCUCAACCCCCGGACUGCUCUGGAAACUGUACGGCUGGAGUGCAGGGGAGGUAAGUGGAAUUCCUAGUGUAGCGGUGAAAUGCGUAGAUAUUAGGAGGAACGCCAGUGGCGAAGGCGGCUUACUGGACUGUAACUGACGUUGAGGCUCGAAAGCGUGGGGAGCAAGCAGGAUUAGAUACCCGUGUAG